CGGCAGACGGGAUAGUAACACGUGGGAACGUACCCUUCAGUUCGGAACAACCCAGGGAAACUUGGGCUAAUACCGAAUACGUCCGUAAGGAGAAAGAUUUAUCGCUGAAGGAUGGCCCGCGUCUGAUUAGCUAGUUGGUGAGGUAAUGGCUCACCAAGGCGACGAUCAGUAGCUGGUCUGAGAGGAUGAUCAGCAUCACUGGGACUGAGACACGGCCCAG
rnacentral:rRNA from 1 species